rnacentral:rRNA from 1 species
CCCUUAGAUGUUCUGGGCCGCACACGCGCUACACUGAAGGAGGCAGCGUGUACUCCUGGAUCGAAAGAUUUGGGUAACCCGCGAAUCUCCUUCGUGCUAGGGAUUGAGGUUUGCAAUUAUCCUUCAUGAACGAGGAAUUCCCAGUAAGUGCAAGUCAUAAGCUUGCGCUGACUACGUCCCUGCCCUUUGUACACACCGCCCGUCGCUACUACCGAUUGAAUGAUUUAGUGAGGACUUCGGACUGGGACCGAUGCGGCUUUCGGGCUGCGUCGGAAUUCUGGAAAGAUGUCCAAACUGUAUCAUUUAGAGGAAGUAAAAGUCGUAACA